CACUGCACAGCUAUCCUAGCGUUAACCUUUUAAGUUAAAAAUUGAGGGGGCACACCCUCUGCAGCGA
rnacentral:tRNA from 1 species